rnacentral:rRNA from 1 species
GAAACUGCGAAUGGCUCACUAAAACAGUCUUAAUUUCUCUGAGUGUGAACCUGUACCAGGAUACCUACAGAAAAUCUGGAGCUAAUACAUGUUUAUGCAUCCAACUUUAUAGGUAGGAUUGUGUCUGCUAGAUAUCGAAUCUUCCUGGGGAAACCCAGCAAAUAACUUACUCAUAGUUCCUGAACAAGUCGCCAUAUGACAGUCGAAUCUUCAUUCAAGUGUCUGACCUAUCAGCUACAGACGGUAUCGUAUUGGGUUACCGUGGCUUUGACGGGUAACGGAGAAUUAGGGUUCGGUUCCGGAGAGGGAGCCUGAGAAACGGCUACCACAUCUAAGGAAGGCAGCAGGCGCGUAAAUUACCCAAUUCUGGAUUCGGGAGGUAGUGACAAGAAAUACUAAUAUGGGGCUUAUAUGUCUUGUAAUUGGGAUGAGUGUAAAUUAAAUUGCUACGCGAAUACCAAUUGGAGGGCAAGUCUGGUGCCAGCAGCCGCGGUAAUUCCAGCUCCAAUAGCGUAUAUUAAAAUUGUUGCGGUUAAAACGCUCGUAGUUGGAUUUUUCGGGAGAUAUUCUGGUCCCCCCAAGUGGUGCGCACUGGGACAGUCCUUCGAAUUUACCUAGAGAAUGCGCGUGCGCUUUGUUGUGUGGCGAUGGAACUAGGACCUUUACUUUGAGGAAAUGAGAUCGCUCCAAGAAAGUAGGUGCUGCGAAUAUGUUAGCAUGGGAUAGUACUACAGGACCCUGGUCGAUGUUGAAGAAUCAUCGAGCGAGGUAAUGCAAAUAAGGGUGGUUGGGAGUAUUCAUAUUUAGCUGCCAGAGGUGAAGUUCUUGGAUUUUCUAAAGAUGAACUGGUGCGAAAGCAUCUGCUCAGGAUGUUUUUAUUAAUCAAGAACGAAAGUUAGGGGAUCAAAGACGAUCAGAUACCGUCGUAGUCUAACCUUAAACUAUGCCUACCAGAGCUUGGGAGCAUCAGGAUUUUGGCGCUUUCAGUACCUUGAGAGAAAUCAAAGUUUUUGGGUUCCGGGGGGAGUAUUGUCGCAAGGCUGAAACUUAAAGGAAUUGACGGAAGGGCACCACCAGGAGUGGAGCUUGCGGCUUAAUUUGACUCAACACGGGGAAACUUACCAGGUCCAGACAUGGAGAGGAUUGACAGACUGAUAGCUCUUUCUUGAUUCUAUGGGUAGUGGUGCAUGGCCGUUCUUAGUUGGUGGAGUGAUUUGUCUGGUUAAUUCCGUUAACGAACGAGACCUUAACCUACUAAAUAGGGAGCGAAAUGUAUGAAUUUCGGACUCGCUUCUUAGGGGGACUUCGUGUGGCUAAUGUGAGGAAGUGUGAGGCAAUAACAGGUCUGUGAUGCCCUUAGAUGAUCUGGGCUGCACGCGUGCUACAAUGAUGUCUUCAGCGAGAUAUUAAACCUCUUUGAAAAGAGUGGGAGAUCAUCUAAAAUGCAUCGUGGUGGGAAUUGAUUAUUGCAAUUAUUAAUCCUGAACGAGGAAUUCCUAGUAAGUGCAGAUCACCAGUUUGUGCUGAUUACGUCCCUGCCCU